rnacentral:rRNA from 1 species
GAUGAACGCUGGCGGCGUGCUUAAUACAUGCAAGUCGAACGGAGGAUGUAGCGAUAUGUCCUCAGUGGCGAACGGGUGAGUAACGCGUUGGUGACCUGCCCCGAAGAGAGGGAUAACAGUUCGAAAGGACUGCUAAUACCGCAUGAGGUCGUUGAGGCUAGAGGCUCGAUGACGAAAGGAGAAAUCCGCUUUGGGAGGGGCCUGCGUCCCAUCAGCUAGUUGGUAAGGUAAAGGCUUACCAAGGCGACGACGGGUAGGGGACCUGAGAGGGUGGCCCCCCACACUGGCACUGAAACACGGGCCAGACUCCUACGGGAGGCUG